rnacentral:rRNA from 1 species
UACGUAGGGUGCGAGCGUUGUCCGGAAUUACUGGGCGUAAAGAGCUCGUAGGUGGUUUGUCGCGUUGUUCGUGAAAACCGGGGGCUUAACCCUCGGCGUGCGGGCGAUACGGGCAGACUUGAGUACUGCAGGGGAGACUGGAACUCCUGGUGUAGCGGUGAAAUGCGCAGAUAUCAGGAAGAACACUGGUGGCGAAGGCGGGUCUCUGGGCCGAAACUGACGCUGAGGAGCGAAAGCGUGGGUAGCAAACAGG